rnacentral:lncRNA from 1 species
UUUCUACUGCAUCCUGCUGACAAGAAGGGAAAGUGUGGGAACUGAUGGAGGUUCGGCAGGCUCUGUUGUCAGCCCAACAAAAGCACCAAAGAAGUUUGAUCCAACGUCAGAUCCCACCACUGACUCCCUUGAACAAGGGCUAUCAAAUGAGGCCUUCUCCCAGCGAGCUGUAUGAAAUUGGAGACUCCACUUACCUUCUGCCUCUUAAAAUUAGACAAGCCCUCCACAUAGCAGGAGAAUAAGUGGCAAGCAUGUGGACAGCUCUUUCUGAGCUGGAUGAUUUAGUGAAGCAGCUGUGGGGGACACAGGAGGGGAGAUUUGGAAGAAGGAUGCAGUGGGCUGAGGGAGGACUAUUCACCCCCUAUUUGCAAUGCUGUUAUUACUUUCUUGCCUAUGGUGUUAAAGGGACUGUGAACCUCAGCCCAUUUUGUGGUCAUAAAUCAGCAACUUGGAGAAAGUACCUGGUAUGUUUGCAGGUUUCACUCAUGACUGUCAUUGAAGGGUUUACUGAGUCCGGCAUCACCCAGGGUCCACUGAGAUCUCCCUGCUCUUCAGCUUUGGGGAAGAUGGCCUCAAUUCCACUCACGCUUAAGCCCUGCCCUGUGAAAAUCCAAAGUCUUCCUCAAGUUGUCUGUGAAUUCCUCAAGAGGUAGAUCCUUUUGGUCUACUCUGACCCUCAACUACUGCUUCCACUGAGCUAACCAACCGUGUAGGUUAUUGAUUCUGUGCCUGCUAUGCUAUUUCUUUCUGUGCCAGAAUCACCAAGGAUAAGAACCUGACACUUCCCUCAGUUUAAAAAACAACUCUCACCAGGCUCUUGUAUGUGAACAGAUGAAGAGGUUCACAUUAGAGAAUCUCACAUGACUUCCAAUUGUGUAUAGAUAUCCCUUUUUGUGAAAUGGUCCAACCACACUUGCAGAUUUUUCAUAGACUCCAUGACCCCAGGAGCCCUAGCCUCACCCCCUUCUCUGCCCGCUCUUCCUCCUUCCAUCUCUCUUCUUCACCAGCUUUGUGGAAAAGCCUUUGUAAUGACAAAAGGGCCAUCCAUUUUAAUGGGUCUAUCUUCCUUACAAGGCUGUUGUAAAUUUUAAUUUUUUUAAUUGUGAAUUGACAAAUUAUGGUUGUAUACAUUUAUUGGGUACAAUUUUACUUUAAUUUUUUUUUUAGACAGUUUCACUUUUUCUUUUUUUCUUUUUCUUUUUUU